rnacentral:rRNA from 1 species
AACGAACGCUGGCGGCAUGCCUAACACAUGCAAGUCGAACGAGACCUUCGGGUCUAGUGGCGCACGGGUGCGUAACGCGUGGGAACCUGCCCUUAGGUUCGGAAUAACUCCCCGAAAGGGGUGCUAAUACCGGAUAAUGUCUUCGGACCAAAGAUUUAUCGCCUUUGGAUGGGCCCGCGUUGGAUUAGCUAGUUGGUAGGGUAAAAGCCUACCAAGGCGACGAUCCAUAGCUGGUCUGAGAGGAUGAUCAGCCACACUGGGACUGAGACACGGCCCAGACUCCUACGGGAGGCAGCAGUGGGGAAUAUUGGACAAGGGGCGAAAGCCUGAUCAAGCAAUGCCGCGUGAGUGAUGAAGGCCUUAGGGUUGUAAAGCUCUUUUACCCGGGAUGAUAAUGACAGUACCGGGAGAAUAAGCUCCGGCUAACUACGUG